GCUGCUUCAUUUAUUGAGAAGCAAUUUUCAAACUAUAACCAAUUAAAUUUAUAUUGUUUCUCCUCUUUUUAAGAAACAGCCAUUAUAUACAAUGUUCCUUUAAAUGAACUAAAGUCUUCUUUUUAAUGUGAUUUUAAAUGUUAGUGUUUUUUAGGUUCUCUCUUCAUAGUAAGGAAUCUUCCAGAGGGAAAUGUUGCGCUCCUAGGGAAACCUUCCCCGUGCCUUCCCUGAGUGAGUCUGACCCUAUUAGCACCUGCUUGGUAGUAUAUUUCACAAAUUUACUUUUAAAUUUUAUUUUAGAUAUUAUAUAAUGUGCAAUCCAGAGUAAUUUUAUAACAGUCAUAAAAACAUAACUAUUAAGGUUCACAACCUUGUUCUCUAGACAAGAGAAUGAACCUAUACUGAUAUAAUUAUUUUUUUGCUAUGUUGAAUGUUUUUCAGUUUUGACUUUUUUUCAGUAAGACACUACCCAUCCUACCAUCCUGUAUUACUUUCUGAUGUAAAGCAACUUAUAUUUACACUAUGCCAUAUUUUUUUUAUUGUAGUUGUAAAUUAUGAAAGAUCCUUGAAUUUUCUACAGAUCUACAACUACUAAAGUAACAGACAAGGGCAAUCUUGAUAUAUAAAUCUGAGCAUGGCAGUUCUACCAUAAAAAGUACUCUAUUUUUCUAAUUUCUAGAAUUUUUAAAAUAAUGUUUCUGUAAGUCUGACAUACUAAUAUUCACUCAAGCAGUAACAUUUAUUUUAGCUUGCAUAUAUUUUAAUUUAAUGUAAUGUAUUGAGUCUAAUAGACUGUUUUGCAAUAAUUAGAGUAAAAGAUUUACUUCUUCUAAUCAGAGAUGCAGAACAGCUCUCAUCUAGGGACCACCAAAUGUGAGUUCACAGUUUUAACUACUAUAAACACAAUCCGUACAUAGAAAAUUUAAUUUUGUAAAGUAGCCUGUAUGAUAUUGUAACAUUAAGUCCAUGUUCUCAAAUCAAAAAUAUGUGUUGACCUCCAGUGUGUUGUGCUCAGUCUUGCUCUGAAAUGUUGAGGCAAGAUUGGUCUUCCUUUUUACAGAUUGUAAUUUUCACUGUUUUAUUCCUGUUUUUAAAAAAAAGUCAUUUGUAACCCAUGCAAACAAUCGUUUGAUCUGUGCUAACUUAUAAAUUUGGCUAUUCAAUAAAGUUAAUCAAAAGAGCUUAUGUACAGUGGC
ensembl:lncRNA